AGAGUUUGAUCCUGGCUCAGGAUGAACGCUAGCUACAGGCUUAACACAUGCAAGUCGAGGGGCAGCAUGUCGGUUGCUUGCAACCGAUGAUGGCGGCCGGCGCACGGGUGAGUAACGCGUAUCCGACCUACCCUUGUCCAUCGGAUAACCCGUCGAAAGGCGGCCUAACACGAUAUGCGGUUCUCAGCAGGCAUCUAACGAGAACGAAAUGUGAAGGAGAAGGAUGGGGAUGCGUCUGAUUAGCUUGUUGGCGGGGUAACGGCCCACCAAGGCUACGAUCAGUAGGGGUUCUGAGAGGAAGGUCCCCCACAUUGGAACUGAGACACGGUCCAAACUCCUACGGGAGGCAGCAGUGAGGAAUAUUGGUCAAUGGACGGGAGUCUGAACCAGCCAAGUAGCGUGCAGGACGACGGCCCUAUGGGUUGUAAACUGCUUUUAUAGGGGGAUAAAGUGUGCCACGUGUGGCAUAUUGCAGGUACCCUAUGAAUAAGGACCGGCUAAUUCCGUGUCAGCAGCCGCGGUAAUACGGAAGGUCCGGGCGUUAUCCGGAUUUAUUGGGUUUAAAGGGAGCGUAGGCCGUCUUAUAAGCGUGUUGUGAAAUGUCGGGGCUCAACCUGGGCAUUGCAGCGCGAACUGUGAGACUUGAGUGCGCAGGAAGUAGGCGGAAUUCGUCGUGUAGCGGUGAAAUGCUUAGAUAUGACGAAGAACUCCGAUUGCGAAGGCAGCCUGCUAUAGCGCAACUGACGCUGAAGCUCGAAAGCGUGGGUAUCGAACAGGAUUAGAUACCCUGGUAGUCCACGCGGUAAACGAUGGAUGCUCGCUGUUUGCGUCUGACGUAAGCGGCCAAGCGAAAGCGUUAAGCAUCCCACCUGGGGAGUACGCCGGCAACGGUGAAACUCGAAGGAAUCGACGGGGACCCGCACAAGCGGUGGAGCAUGUGGUUUAAUUCGAAGCAACGCGAAGAACCUUACCUGGUCUUGACAUCCCUAUGAAUAACGGGCAAUGCCGUUAGUACUUCGGUACAUAGGAGACAGGUGGUGCAUGGUUGUCGUCAGCUCGUGUCGUGAGAUGUUGGGUUAAGUCCCGCAACGAGCGCAACCCUUAUCUUUAGUAGCCAGCAGUAAGAUGGGCACUCUAGAGAGACUGCCGGGGAUAACCCGGAGGAAGGUGGGGAUGACGUCAAAUCAUCAUGCCCCUUAUGACCAGGGCUACACACGUGCUACAAUGGCGUAAACAAAGAGAAGCGAAGUCGUGAGGCAGAGCGAAUCUCAAAAAUAACGUCUCAGUUCGGAUUGUAGUCUGCAACUCGACUACAUGAAGCUGGAAUCGCUAGUAAUCGCAGAUCAGAAUGCUGCGGUGAAUACGUUCCCGGGUCUUGUACACACCGCCCGUCACACCAUGGGAGUCGGAAAUGCCCGAAGUCGGUGACCUAACCGCAAGGAAGGAGCCGCCGAAGGCAGGUCUGAUAACUGGGGUG
rnacentral:rRNA from 1 species